UACUCUAUUCUUAUUGAUUU
rnacentral:snRNA from 1 species